GACGAACGCUGGCGGCGUGCUUAACACAUGCAAGUCGAACGGAAAGGCCCUGCUUUUGUGGGGUGCUCGAGUGGCGAACGGGUGUGUAACACGUGAGUCACCUUCCCUUUACUUUGGGAUAACCUCAGGCGACUGCGGCUACUACAGGAUAGGAGCUCCUGCUACAUGGGGGGGGUUGGAAAGUUUCGGCGGUUAUGGAUGGACUCGCGGCUAACCAGCUUGUGGGGGGGGGAGCUGCUAACCGAGUCAUCGACUGUUCGCCGGCACUGGAGGUGGGACGGCCACAAUGGGACUGCGAGACGGCCCAGACGCCUACGGGAGGCAGUAGGGGGGAAUAUUGCACAAUGGGCCGAAGCCUGAUGCAGCGACGCCGCGUUCGGGAUGACGGCCUUCGUGUUGUAAACCGCUUUCAGCUGAGACGAAGCGUGAGUGACGGUACCGGCAGAAGAAGCACCGGCUAACUACGUG
rnacentral:rRNA from 1 species